UACAGAGGGUGCGAACGUUGCUCGGAAUUACUGGGCGUAAAGCGCGUGUAGGCGGGUCGGCAAGUCAGGCGUGAAAUCCCCAGGCUCAACCUGGGAACUGCGCUUGAAACUGCCGGUCUUGAGUAUCGGAGAGGGUGGCGGAAUUCCUGGUGUAGAGGUGAAAUUCGUAGAUAUCAGGAGGAACACCGGUGGCGAAGGCGGCCACCUGGACGAUUACUGACGCUGAGACGCGAAAGCGUGGGGAGC
rnacentral:rRNA from 1 species